rnacentral:lncRNA from 1 species
ACUCCAUGCGCUGACGUAACGUCUGACGUGCGUUCGAAUUUCGUCAGAGGAACUGAUUUUAAAUGAUUACAACUCAAAUCGGCGUAAUUUCUCACACAAAACCGUCGAAUAUACAGUAUUUAGCAGACUGAACACUACACAGGAACACUGAGGACUACUUUGUGUGUUUUUUCGCGCGCUUUAUAACGAACUCCUCAUGUUUUUCAUCAAUGAAAACGUCGUGAGUUUGGAGCGACGGGUCAGAAGUCAUGCUAUUUUCUCAGCGCUCUUAUCCAGGGACUCAGGAACGACUACAGGUCACCAUCAGGUCAUGAAAAGUGAUGUCAUUUCUCUGAUGUCGUGAGGUCAGAGUGUAUCAGUGAGUGUUUUUGCCAAUGGCUCCACCUCGAGGCGUUUUUCAGUAACUGCAAAAAAGAGUAGGCAAUGCCGUCCAAAAUGAGUUCAAGGAAACUCGAUUCCCAGAGGCCAAUUUUGGAUGUCAGCAGGCAUCGCAUGGACGAAGAUAACAGCCUUCAAGCAGAUGUCAGAGAAUGAAGUGAGAGGAUCCAGUCAGCCCCAGUCCUUCCUGGCUCAACAGAGGCAGUCUGCUACACUCAGAAGGGUCCAAACUAAUAUAAAACGAUGAAUUUGCUCAUAAUCUCGAGUCUGUACAUAGCGCCUUGGUGAGACACGAGCUCCACCUGCUGGUUUCUGAAUGUAUUUGCAUGCACAUAUUAGUUUUAUCCUGUAGUAUUUUUAUUAAAAGCCGUCGAUGCAAAAAUAUUUGUUUAUUUGGGUUUUGUGUUCUUUUUAUAUACAGUUUUUGUAAUUUAUUAAAUUUUAUUUAUUGUAUUUGUAAUUAAUUAUUUGAUUUAUUAAAUAUAGCCUAAACAAAAACAAGACCUCGGGAUCACUUGUUUACUCGUAUCUUCUUAUUUUACAUACCCCAAAUUCAGUAAAUGUGAGUAAAUAAAACUGAAGUUUUGCCAAACA